CACGUAGGGUGCGAGCGUUGUCCGGAAUUAUUGGGCGUAAAGCGCUCGUAGGCGGUGUGUCGCGUCGGCCGUGAAAACCUGCAGCUUAACUGUGGGCUUGCGGUCGAUACGGGCAUUACUGGAGUUCGGCAGGGGAGACUGGAAUUCCUGGUGUAGCGGUGAAAUGCGCAGAUAUCAGGAGGAACACCGGUGGCGAAGGCGGGUCUCUGGGCCGAUACUGACGCUGAGGAGCGAAAGCGUGGGGAGCGAACAGG
rnacentral:rRNA from 1 species